rnacentral:rRNA from 1 species
UACAGAGGGGGCAAGUGUUGUUCGGAAUUACUGGGCGUAAAGCGCACGUAGGCGGCUUUGUAAGUUAGAGGUGAAAGCCCGGGGCUCAACUCCGGAAUUGCCUUUAAGACUGCAUCGCUAGAAUUGUGGAGAGGUAAGUGGAAUUCCGAGUGUAGAGGUGAAAUUCGUAGAUAUUCGGAAGAACACCAGUGGCGAAGGCGACUUACUGGACACAUAUUGACGUUGAGGUGCGAAAGCGUGGGGAGCAAACAGG